GCGGAAGGCCGGAUGGUCGCGGGCGCAUUCUGGUCCUGCAAAGGAUACCGGAUGCGCACGAGGAAAGUCCGGACUCCAUGAAGCAAGGGUGCCGGGUAACGCCCGGCCGGGGUAACCCGAGGGAAAGCGCCACAGAGAAGAGACAGCCGUCGCAAUCCGGCAACGGGACGCGGCGGUGAUGGUGAAACGGUGGGGUAAGAGCCCACCGGGGGCCGGGCAACCGGAACCGCAUGGCAAGCCCCACCCGGAGCAAUGCCGAAUAGGGGCCUCACGCGGGCAGGUCGGACAACCGAUACCGCCGCAGGGACGCUUCAGCCCAGAGGCCCGGGUUGGCAGCUUGACCGCACCGGCAACGGAUGCGGCAGAGGAAUGAUCAUCCAGGGGGGCAACCCCCGGACAGAAUCCGGCUUACAGGCCUUCCGCGCGU
rnacentral:RNase_P_RNA from 1 species